UAACCGCUGGCGAAAAUCGUGAAUGUUA
rnacentral:ncRNA from 1 species